rnacentral:rRNA from 1 species
GCAUAUCAAUAAUGCGAGGGGAAAAAGAAACCAACAGGGAUUGCCCUAGUAACGGCGAGUGAAGCGGCAACAGCUCAAAUUUGAAAUCUGGCUUCGGCCCGAGUUGUAAUUUGCAGAGGAUGUUUAUGGUGCGGUACCUACCGAGUUCCCUGGAACGGGACGCCACAGAGGGUGAGAGCCCCGUCUGGUAGGAUACCAAACCUGUGUUAAACUCCUUCAACGAGUCGAGUAGUUUGGGAAUGCUGCUCUAAAUGGGAGGUAAAUCUCUUCUAAAGCUAAAUAUUGGCCAGAGACCGAUAGCGCACAAGUAGAGUGAUCGAAAGAUGAAAAGCACCUUGAAAAGGGGGUUAAACAGUACGUGAAAUUGUUGAAAGGGAAGCGUUUAUGACCAGACUUGUGCCGUGUGGCUCAUCCGAGGUUCUCCCCGGUGCACUCCACACGGCUCAGGCCAACAUCGGUUCUCGUUGGGGGAUAAGAACAGUAGGAACGUGGCCCUCUUCGGGGGGUGUUAUAGCCUAUUGUACGAUACUCUGACGGGGACCGAGGACCGCGCUUCGGCUAGGAUGUUGGCGUAAUGGUCAUUAGCGACCCGUCUUGAAACACGGACCAAGGAGUCGUCCAUUAGAGCGAGCGUUUGGGUGUAAAACCCGCACGCGUAAUGAAAGUAAAAUAGGUGAGAGCUUCGGCGCAUCAUCGACCGAUCCUGAAGUUUACGGAUGGAUUUGAGUAAGAGUUUUAACGGACGGACCCGAAAGACAGUGAACUAUGCUUGAAUAGGGUGAAGCCAGAGGAAACUCUGGUGGAGGCUCGCAGCGGUUCUGACGUGCAAAUCGAUCGUCAAAUUUGAGCAUGGGGGGCGAAAGACUAAUCGAACUGUCUAGUAGCUGGUUACCGCCGAAG